UGAGUUGAAGUGAUGAUUUCAUUUCUAUCUCAGUUCUCUAAGAGAAUCAUUUUUCACUUGUUGCCUCACUUCACUAGAAACUUCUGCAAGCCUGAAGCUGCCUUAUCCUGGAUUUACAAGAUAAGACUUGGGCUAUCAACUAUGUGGGAAGGUUAAGUGUCUUUGCAAUCCUCUCCCAGGCAAAUGAGAAGGAUGAACCACAGAACUAGAUGGCAGGAGCUGCCACGGAGGGAAACUUGGUGCCAAAAACGAACAAUAAAAUUGGACCUGAAAGCAGUUGGCCACCUAUGAGAACUGGACAAGGGAUGGCUCAGAUGCAAAACGGGCUGUCUACGUGACUGAGAUGGAGGUGAAGGACGUUUUCCAUAUAUAUAUACAACAACUUCAGCAUUGUUCAUAUAUGUAUAUAUGAACAAUGUUACUCACAAAUGGUUUAAUGAAAUGACUAAAGUUUGGCUUAAAGAUCAGAAGGCACGAGCCAGUUUCCAGAUGAAUUUUACCUCUUCAUCAUAUAUGUAUAAUAUGAACAAUGCUGAAGUAGUUGGAUCUACACCAAACUGGAAUCCAUGCAUAAUACUGAACUAUGGUUCUCUGGGACCAAAGAAGACUGACAAAUAUUUUGGAGGCAAUUGCACUGAAGAACAAUCCAGCUAAGAAAUUGGGGUGUAGUUUUGAAAGAUGAUAUUGAGAAGCAAGAAAUCAAGGGGCAAAAUUAUACCUGGAGCAGAUGGUCCCAC